CCCUUUGCCUCUAAGAAAAGAAUCAAAAACCAAAAGCAGUCUAGAAAAUUGGUCCACGGGAUGGCCACCAAUUAACCAGCGGUACAGGUCCCUUCUCAAAAUCCAGAACUCAUUCCCAUGAAGUGUAAUGUGUAUAUAUAGUUUCAUAUGGAAUGUCAUAGCUGUACCCAUCAGUCUGCUUGCUUUUGCAUAUCGACACUUUGACAGAUUAAAACACCGAGCUUAAGCCAUUCUCUUCCCAAAUGAAGACGAUGCAAGAACAGCCAAAUAACCAGCCCCCACAAGGAUACCCGAACGAUGAUGUUCCUGCUAAGAAGAAGUGUGCCAUGUGUGGUGCAAAGAAGAAAGGAGAUAGGGGCUUCAUUGAGGGAUGCCUCUUUGCUCUGUGCUGCUGUUGGCUUUGCGACGUUUGUUUUGACGGAUGAUUUCCAGCUGAGCAAUCCUUGUAGAAGUUAACUAUUGCUUAUCGUUUGAUUACUAUAAUUUCCGUGUAAUCUUGUGUUGAAUAAUAUGUAGCCAUUCUACCAGGAGUGUGUUUAUUUAACCUA